rnacentral:rRNA from 1 species
GAUGAACGCUGGCGGCGUGCCUAAUACAUGCAAGUCGAGCGAAGCGGGCAGGCGUGUGUGACACGUGGGUAACCUGCUAUAAGGCGGGGAUAACUUCCGGAAACCGGUGCCAAACCCGAUACUUUUACAUGGAUGCGGUCUGCAUUAGCUAGUUGGGAAGGUAACGGCUUACCAAGGCAACGAUGCAUAGCCGACCUGAGAGGGUGAUCGGCCACACUGGAACUGAGACACGGUCCAGACUCCUACGGGAGGCAGCAGUAGGGAAUCUUCCGCAAUGGGCGAAAGCCUGACGGAGCAACGCCGCGUGAGUGAUGAAGGUCUUCGGAUCGUAAAACUCUGUUAGUAGGGAAGCGGUACCUAAUCAGGAAGCCACGGCUAACUACGUGCCAGCAGCCGCGGUAAUAC